rnacentral:rRNA from 1 species
AUUGAACGCUGGCGGCAGGCCUAACACAUGCAAGUCGAGCGAAUGAAGGGAGCUUGCUCCUGGAUUCAGCGGCGGACGGGUGAGUAAUGCCUAGGAAUCUGCCUGGUAGUGGGGGAUAACGUCCGGAAACGGGCGCUAAUACCGCAUACGUCCUGAGGGAGAAAGUGGGGGAUCUUCGGACCUCACGCUAUCAGAUGAGCCUAGGUCGGAUUAGCUAGUUGGUGGGGUAAAGGCCUACCAAGGCGACGAUCCGUAACUGGUCUGAGAGGAUGAUCAGUCACACUGGAACUGAGACACGGUCCAGACUCCUACGGGAGGCAGCAGUGGGGAAUAUUGGACAAUGGGCGAAAGCCUGAUCCAGCCAUGCCGCGUGUGUGAAGAAGGUCUUCGGAUUGUAAAGCACUUUAAGUUGGGAGGAAGGGCAGUAAGUUAAUACCUUGCUGUUUUGACGUUACCAACAGAAUAGGCACCGGCUAACUUCGUG